ACAUAUAUUAUAUGUAGAAAUAAAAGUAAAAUAAAAAAUAAAAAUAAAAAAAAAAUAAAAUAAGAAGCCCAAAAUUGAGAGCAAUGGCAGGUUCUUCGAAGUCUCUUACCAUCCUCUUCCUCUUCUUGGUGCUCCUUUCUUCUACUGAAAUGGGUCCAACAAUGACGGCUGCGCAUGACACCAGCCAACAGUGGUGCUUUGGGCAGGUGGGAGGGUGUUGGUCUAAAAAGUUAUGCGAUGAAUCUUGCAAAUCUCAGGGCUAUGGUGGUGGCAAAUGUAGCUUAUUAAGAACUUGUUGUUGUGAGUGAAGGGAGAAUUUUUAAUUAUUAUUAUUAUUAUUAUUAUUUUAUUUUAUUUAUUCUUUUUUGUAAAUAAGAAGUUACAACUUCGAUUUUCAAUGGAUUAAGUGUUAUUCCACACUAUAAACUAUGACGGAUUUUUUAUGUUGCA